CGGAUUAACGCUGGCGGCGUGCAUAACACAUGCAAGUCGAACGAUGAAACUUAAAUGAUCUCUUCGGAGUGAAUUUAAGUGGAUUAGUGGCGGACGGGUGAGUAACGCGUGAGUAACCUGCCUUAGAGAAGGGGAUAGCCUUUGGAAACGAAGAAUAAUACCCUAUGAAACCAUAACCUCGCAUGAGGCCUUGGUCAAAGAUUUAUCGCUCUAAGAUGGACUUGCGUCUGAUUAGUUAGUUGGUGGGGUAACGGCCUACCAAGACAGCGAUCAGUAGCCGGCUUGAGAGAGUGUACGGCCACAUUGGGACUGAGACACGGCCCAGACUCCUACGGGAGGCAGCAGUGGGGAAUUUUGCACAAUGGGGGAAACCCUGAUGCAGCGACGCCGCGUGAUUUAGAAGGCCUUCGGGUUGUAAAAAUCUUUUCUAUGGGAAGAAAAUGACAGUACCAUAGGAAUAAGGACCGGCUAAUUACGUGCCAGCAGCCGCGGUAAUACGUAAGGUCCGAGCGUUGUCUGGAAUCAUUGGGCGUAAAGGGUACGUAGGCGGGUAAGCAAGUUAGAAGUGAAAUCCUAUAGCUCAACUAUAGUAAGCUUUUAAAACUGCUCAUCUUGAGGUAUGGAAGGGAAAGUGGAAUUCCUAGUGUAGCGGUGAAAUGCGCAGAUAUUAGGAGGAAUACCGGUGGCGAAGGCGACUUUCUGGCCAUAACCUGACGCUGAGGUACGAAAGCGUGGGUAGCAAACAGGAUUAGAUACCCUGGUAGUCCACGCCGUAAACGAUGAGUGUUAGGUGUCUGGAGUAAAUCUGGGUGCCGCAGCUAACGCAUUAAACACUCCGCCUGGGGAGUACGCGCGCAAGCGGA
rnacentral:rRNA from 1 species